CCGGAAGCGACUCGAACUCGAGGCCGGAAGUGACUCCAUUUCUGUGCGCCGAGCUCCGCCCCACGAGCACCUGGUUUCGGGCGGAGAGCGCGCGCCGUUUCGUACCCUGUUGUCCCAUCGCGGCUUGGGACUCGGCAAGAUGGGCAAGAAGGGGAAGAAGGAGAAGAAGGGCCGCGGCGCGGAGAAGACGGCCGCCAAGAUGGAGAAGAAGGUGUCUAAGCGCUCGCGGAAGGAGGAGGAAGACCUGGAAGCGCUCAUAGCCCAUUUCCAGACACUCGAUGCCAAGAGGACUCAGAUUGUGGAAACUCCGUGCCCCCCGCCCUCACCAAGGUUAAAUGCCUCCCUCUCAGUUCAUCCUGAGAAAGAUGAAUUAAUCCUUUUCGGAGGUGAAUAUUUCAACGGCCAAAAAACUUUUUUGUAUAACGAGCUGUAUGUCUACAAUAUCAGAAAGGACGCCUGGACCAAAGUUGACAUCCCCAGUCCACCUCCGAGGCGCUGUGCUCACCAGGCGGUGGUGGUGCCUCAAGGUGGCGGACAGCUGUGGGUCUUUGGAGGGGAGUUUGCCUCUCCCAACGGAGAGCAGUUCUACCACUACAAGGAUCUCUGGGUCCUGCAUUUGGCCACCAAGACCUGGGAACAAGUCAAAUCAACAGGGGGUCCUUCGGGUCGGAGUGGACAUCGGAUGGUGGCCUGGAAGAGACAAUUGAUCCUUUUUGGUGGCUUCCAUGAGAGUACACGGGAUUACAUCUACUACAAUGAUGUGUAUGCCUUUAAUCUGGACACUUUCACAUGGAGCAAGCUGUCCCCGUCAGGCACAGGGCCCACACCCAGAUCAGGCUGCCAGAUGUCCGUCACUCCCCAGGGCGGCAUCAUCAUCUACGGGGGCUACUCGAAACAGAGAGUUAAGAAAGACGUGGACAAGGGCACGCGGCACUCAGACAUGUUCCUGCUGAAGCCGGAGGACGGGAGAGAAGGGCGGCCUGAGCCUGUGUGCUCCGCUCCUCAGCCCCCAGGAGGAAAGCAUCGUGACAAGUGGGUGUGGACUCGGAUGAACCCUUCGGGGGUCAGGCCCACCCCACGGUCUGGCUUUUCCGUGGCCAUGGCCCCGAAUCACCAGACGCUGUUCUUCGGGGGUGUCUGUGACGAGGAAGAGGAGGAGAGCCUGGCGGGCGAGUUCUUCAACGAUCUGUACUUCUACGACGCCACCAGGAACCGCUGGUUUGAGGGACAGCUGAAGGGGCCCAAGUCUGAGAAGAAGAAGCGCAGGCGGGGCAGGAGAGAGGAGUCCGAAGGUGGCAGCAAGCUGGCGUGUGGGGGAACUGGCACGCAGGUGCCUGUGGAGGUGGUCAAGGAGGUGGUGGCCGAGGAUGGGACCGUGGUCACCAUUAAGCAGGUGCUCGCCGCCCCAGGCUCGGCAGGGCAGCCCCAGUCUGAGGACGAAGACAGCCUCGAGGAGGCCGGCAGCCCCACACCCGGGCCGUGUCCACGCUCCAACGCCAUGCUGGCCGUGAAGCAUGGGGUGCUGUAUGUCUACGGGGGCAUGUUUGAGGCCGGCGACCGCCAGGUCACCCUCAGCGACCUGCACUGCCUGGACCUGCACAGGAUGGAGGCGUGGAAGGCCUUGGUGGAGAUGGACCCAGAAACUCAGGAGUGGCUGGAGGAGACAGACUCGGAAGAGGACAGUGAGGAGGUUGAAGGUGCUGAGGGUGGAGACGAGGAUGAGGAUGAAGACAGUGGAGAGGAGCGCGGUGCGGAGGACGGAGGCCUCCCCCUCGGCUGAGUGUGUUUCUCUCUCUCCUUCCUCCUUGCGUAUCAGAAGAGCCCCCUCCAGGGGCACCUGGCAAGUGCUGUGCCCACGUCCGCCCGGGACCCAGCCGUGUUGGGUGAGGCUCUCGGGGCCAGCCUGUGCCCUGACACACAGGAGAGAGCUGAAGAACCAGAAGAGGGCCCUGACUGCCCAGCCAUCUUCACCCUCGGGGUCAGCCUUUGACGUCUGGAAACUGAAAAGCAGCCCAGGGCCAGCGCACACCUUCCCCGUUCUCGUUCACGUAUGGCCCCGCUGGCCGGCUCCACACAGGGAUCUCCUGGUGGGGGUCCCUCGUGUGCAGUGGCCUCACUUCUGGGAGCCCCUAUGCCGCCGCAUGGUCUCUGGUGAGGCCCUGGUGGUCCCUGUCGGGUUUAGGGUUUAGGAUUAGCAUUUGCAAAGCGACAGGAUGGGAGGCCGGAGGGCGAGGGCUCCCAGCGUUUCCACAUGGCUGCCACCAGGUAUCUCCGGCCAGCUCCUCCUGGCUCCCGUGCUGCAGCGCCCUUGCCCCCGAAGGCUGUGGUGCGCUAACCCCCACCCAAGGCCUGCUCCAGUCCAAGACUGAAGGCCAGUUCAGAUUUGCACAAUUGGGGUCAAAAGUUGAGCACUGAAACCACACCCAGUGCAGUUUUGUGGGUAUCUUAAAUAUUUUGAACAGUGGGAAUAUAGGAUCCUUAGCUCUCUGUAAUGGGCCGACAUAACUGUGGUCCCAUUUCUUAUCUGGGAGUUGAAAACAGGGUGGUGGGGAGACUCCCCUCCUGGCGGAACCAGUGUUGAGCAGAGAGGACUAGAAGCUGACUUGGCAGCGAGCACCUGUGAGCACCUCCCUGCUCCCUUGGCCGAUUCAUCCUCAUGGCUCCAGGCGGGCCCAGGAGUACCUGGGUCACCGUGGGGCAGUGGCUUCAGAAGCGUCAUCUCUGAGGAUCACCUCAGGGGCACUUGGCUAGCUCUUCCCCAGCAGGGGCACGUGCUGAGCUCCCUGGUGCAGCCAGGUGUUCAGGAGGCCUCAGCAGGUGGGUGGCACUUGAACUGGCCCCGAGGGCCCUGCCCGCUGCCAUGGGUGUGACCUCACUUCAGGCUCCGAGCACUGCCUGUUCCCUGGUGGGGACACCUGUCUGGUGCAUCCGGAUGUGUGGGUGGCACUGCCGAUGGGUGAGGCUGCAGGGGUAGCCCCCCUGGAGGGCUGCAGCUCGUGUGUGCGUUGUGCUGGCCCCCCCCGCCGACCCCCGAGGGCUGCAGCUCGUGUUUGUGGUGUCGGGCUUUGGUGGCCGGUUUGGGCACUUUGUCUCCAGUGCGGGGCAGGCAGGGUUCUUUCCUCACGCUCUCAGCUGAGCUGGUUGGGAGAGGCUCGGGCAGGGCAGAGAAGCCAGCGUGCAGGCAGCAGCGUCCCCGCCCGCACAGGCUCUGCGGCUCUGGCCCUUGUCCUGAAGAUGGACCCUGUUGUGUGGCCGGUUCUUUCUUCCCUCCUGCCCUUGGAGGAAGGAAUGGAAAGAUCUUGUUGGCUUCAAUGCAGUUGUCUGUUAUCAGAGAUUGUCUUUCAGAGGAGCUUGUAACUAAUUAGAUGAGAUUCCAAGGAAAAAGAUACUUUUGAAUCAACCAAGUUGAAAGAAAGAUGACAGCAGCCCUGAGGAAGAAACUUCUUGUACACUUUCUUGUACAGAAAGCAUUUUGCUUUUGUUGCUAAAGAUUUGAUUUGAAUGAAAGAUGCUGAUCAGAACCAAUGGGGAUCAGACAGACAAGCUCCCAGCAUGGAGUGGCUGCCACGGCCGUGAUGAAAACAGCAGCGCCCCUUCAGUGUGCAACCGCGGGAGACGCAGAACGCAACACGGGGGGUGGUGGAUUCCCGUGCAGAGCUCUGCCUGCCCCAUGGGUCUGUGGUCUGCUUUGUCUGCUGGAGCCCAGUUUAUUGAACCGCUUGGUGGCCAGACAGCCGCCAUAGGGCGUGAGCAGCCGGCAUGAAAGCCCAGGGCCUCUGUCUCCCGGGAGCUGCUGGCACAGCGUGGCUGGGACACGCCAUACUCGGUGCCACAGUUUCCUCCAGUUCCUCGGUGUGGUGAGCUGCUGGCUGUUAGGAAGGCUUUUCCUCAGCUCCGGCCCUCCCACACGGCCCCCGGACCCCAGACUGCAGGUGGGCGGGCAUGUCAGGUGAGGCGCUCUGGCCGACCUGCUUAGCAGCAGGGCCACAGCUGCUCGCAGGGCUUUGUGGGAUUUCAAAGAUGAAUCAUCUUGUUCUCCGUUCUCCCCCUGCUGCCCCUGCGCUCCCUGCUCUGUGUGAGGACGGACUGGAAGACGGGCCAUGAGCCGUGGCUGUUUUCGUGGUUGGGCGGGAGGUGUUGGGUGGAAUGAACAUCAAGGGAACUAACUACCCGUUGAGCUUAGAAAUCCUUGCCAGGCGGUUAGUUUGUGUUUGUUUUUAGACGAGAGUCGUGUUGACUGCAGUUUGACAUCUGAUUUUUUUUUAAUUGAGUUGGUACAAGCAGGAUGUCAUUGGCUAGGUGACAGUUACAGAGUCACUGAGGGACAAAUGCCAAGAUGCCUGUUGGUGAGAGAGACCCUCUCCGGGGCUUUCCAGAGGGGCCUCCUUCCACGUGACGUUCAGGUAAGAGGUGAGACCCCACGCUGGACGUGGCACUCGGCUGUUGCAGUGAGGAGGUGGUGCCGUGUGCUGAUGGCUUCCAUCAGAGAAGAGUCUGCUUUCUUCCAGAAGGAGCAGGGGAUGGUGGUUCCCCAGCCCAAAAGGAAAAGGGGCCGAGCUCUAGCUGUGAUCACGACCUCAGCCUGCCUGCCUUUGUGCGUGGGAGGAACUUGCUGGUGACCGCUGCUCUCCCGGGCAGUGUAAGAGUGUUGAGUGGAGGCCCGUGGGCACUGGAGGCCCAUCUCGUUUUCAUAACCCAGAUGGCUCCCAGCACAGGUUGCGGUCACCUCCAUUUCUCUUUCACGAGAGAGCUACAGCAAUGCCAUCUGAGCACACAAGCAGUCCCUGCUGGACGCUGGACGCUGACGCACUGUCAGGGCCAAGGGCCACAGUGCAGGUACCACGGCGACCUGGCUUCCCUGAGUUCAGCUCAUGCCUCUCGUUUUCCUUGUCUCAACCUUCAGAGCCCUUCCAAGCCCCCACUGGCUGCAGCCCACCCAGGGACCCACCUGUAGAGGCUGGACUCUGAGGUGUGAGAGGUGCAGGUUUACAAAACUCUGGCUGGGAAGAAAGAGAUGGAGUAACCGCUCCCUGAGAAACAGAAACGGGGACAUUUAAUUACAUGAACGCGUGCAUUUAAAAACCGCCUGUGCACUCCCGGAGGGCAGAGCCUGCCUCUCUGGUGACUUUUGUGUCCCCCAUUCACUUACAGGCUGUGACAAACCUCGUGCCCACACUGCCUGCACUGCCGGGAGACUCAGGGCUGGGGGAGUCAUGCCCCGGCCACCACUGGCGAGCCAGCGAGACUGAAGACCCCGCGCAUGCUGACCCGGGGACGCCGCGGAACUCACUCGAGAUUCCUGCUCACAGCACGUUUCCUGCUCGGAAGCCAGGAGAGCCUCCACCUGCCACCCAGCUCUGUCCACGUGUCCAUCACACAGCUCUGCAGCAGAAGGAACUUCAGUAAAGACACUGGUUUGUAAUGAGACGAGACAAGCGUUCCAGUGUCACACGACAUUGUUUAUUACUAAAAGGAGAAGAAUUUCUCUUUAAUCUUGACAGUGUUCCUUGCUUUCUUAACAGUAGGAUUUAAACUGUUACGUUCAUUUAGGAAAAGAAUUUGAUUUUCAUUUUGUAAGUAACCAAGCUAUCUUUCCAGCUUAAAAACAAAGAAAAAAGGCUCAGGGUAACUUUUUAAACCACUUCGUCA